AUGUGGGGGACCCAAUCAGGAGGCUCCGAGAUCGCUGGCAGCCCGUCCUGGGGAGGCGGCAGCCACUUGGCAGAGGAGCCAUGGAGGACCCGGUAGGGAGUAGGCGGCCGGCGCACAGAAAAGCCUCUGCAGCUUCCCCCACGGAAAGUGAGCCGGGCACCCGCCUCCCAGAAGGUCCCGGGAACCAGCGGGCACCGCCGGCCCCACCCCAUCUGCUCCAAACCCUUGCCACCUCGUGUGGGCACUGGCCACUCCACAUGGGGGCGGCCAUCCAACUUUGCAGCCCCAGUGGAAAGGGAUCUCUAGUUUCCAUUGACUGUUUGUGCUGCUGUCUGAUGGCCCCUACCGCACUCCAGCGAGGCCUGACCCCUAGCCCACUAAGGCCUCUCCUGCGUGUGGUGACCGACAGGGAGCCAGACCUCUUCCUGGCAUGCCAGUCACCUGCCAUCCAUCCAUCCACCCGUCUGUCCAUCUGUCCAUCCAUCCAUCUGUCUAUCC
rnacentral:lncRNA from 1 species